rnacentral:rRNA from 1 species
UACAGAGGGGGCAAGCGUUAUUCGGAAUUAUUGGGCGUAAAGGGCGCGUAGGCGGCUUUGCAAGUGGCGGGUGAAAUCCCUCGGCUUAACCGAGGAACUGCCUGCCAUACUGCUUAGCUUGAGACCGGGAGAGGUGGAGUGGAAUUUCCCAGUGUAGCGGUGAAAUGCGUAGAUAUUGGGAGGAACACCAGUGGCGAAGGCGGCUCACUGGACCGGAACUGACGCUGAGGCGGCGAAAGCGUGGGAGCAAACAGG